GUCCCUGUAGCGUAAUGGAUAGCACGUUGGACUCUUAAUCCAAAGGUUGUGGGUUCGAAUCCCACCUGGGAUG
rnacentral:tRNA from 1 species